AAAAUAAAUAAAUAAAUAAAAAAAAAAGCUAUUUGGUUUUUGUUUAUUUUUUCAUUAUUAUUCAACUCCGUUUGCUUUACUUUGUUUGAUUUUUUUUUUUAAUAAAUAAGAUAAGUUCCAAUGAUACGCUUACAAAAUAAGAACAUUUAGUCGCAAUGUAAAUAUGCAUAUAUAAAUAAUGAUUAUAAAAAAACUCAAAAAACAUAAAAAAUAAAAUUAUGUACACUUAAGAGAGAAAAAAAAAAAAACUUUCUCAUUCGAGCACAACUUAUAAUUAUUAUUUUAUUUUACUCAUUUGAUUAUUUAUUCAUUUGAUUAUUUACUCAUUUGAAUAUUUACUCAUUUGAUUAUUUACUCAUUUGAUUAUUUACUUAUUUAUUUACUUAUUUAUUUAUUUACUUAUUUAUUUAAUUUUAUAGUAGCAUAUUUCUAUGGCUAAUAUGUCCAUUUUUUUUUUUUUUUUUUUUUUUUUUUUUUUUUUUUNNNNNNNNNNNNNNNNNNNNNNNNNNNNNNNNNNNNNNNNNNNNNNNNNNNNNNNNNNNNNNNNNNNNNNNNNNNNNNNNNNNNNNNNNNNNNNNNNNNNUUUUUUUUUUUUUUUUUUUUUUUUUUUUCGAUGCUCGCUUUUUUAUUAGCAUUCUAAAGCUUUUACUUUUUUACAUUUUAUUUUGUUCCCUUUUUUUGUUUUUCUAAAAAAAAUGAUUAAUUAUGAAGAUAUGUAUAUAUUAACAUGUCAUAAAUAGUAAUAAUGUUUUUAAAAGAACAAUUAAGUACUUAGUUAAAAAAUAACACAUUAGGUAAUAUAUAUAUAUAUAUAUAUAUUUUGUGUAUGUAUAUGUGUGUACAUUUUAUAUACAUACAUACAUACGCACACACAUAUAUAUAUGUAUAAAUAUGUUUAUAUAUAUGAACAUAUCUAUUUUUUUUAAAAAUAUAAUAAUGAAAAAAAUGAAAUAAGUAGUAAUAUGGAUUAUGUUAAAAAAUUUGGAAAAACACUAGGUCUUAAUGAAGUGAAGUUUUUUAAUUAUAAAAAGGAUGACAAUUUAGAUAUUAGUAAUAUUUCAGAAGAUUUUCAAAAAGAAGAAAAAUUUAUAUCUGAAAUGAAUCAUGGUGAUGAUAAUAAGAAUAUAAAUACAUUUUCUGUUGAGACUGUGUGUGAAAAAAAUAAUGUGUUACAUAAAUGUGAUAAAAAAAAUGAAAAUUAUAAUAAUAAUGAUACAAACAAUGUAAAUAAUGUAAAUAAUGUAAAUAAUGUAAAUAAUGUAAAUAAUAUAAAUAAUAUAAAUAAUAUAAAUACCUUUUUAGAAAAAACUAAAAAUAAGGAUACCGAAGAAAUAUAUUUAGGUAGUGAUACAAGUGAAACAUGUUAUAAAUCAAAUGAAAGUUAUAUUGAUAAUGAUAUUGAUAUUUCAUUUAAUAAUUUGAAUAAUUUUAUUAAAGAAAAUAAAGAAUCGAAAAUUUUUGAUGAAAAAAAUAAACUUUAUUCUAGUAUAUCAAGUGAUAAUUGCUUAGAUACAAAAAGAAAUGAGUUUAUAUCUUUUAAUUCGAGUGAAAAUGAUUUUAUAGGUUUUGAUCACACAUCUAAUUUGUUUUCUUUUGAAGAUAAUAAAACAAAUACUUUUAAAGAUUUAUCCAGCGUAAAUAGUACUAUAAAAAAUAAUACUCUUACUGCUACUCUUACUACAACUGUUACUUAUGCUAGUAAUAACAAUAAUGACAUAAACAUAAAAUACAAUAAUAAUGAUGAUGAUAUUAGUGAUGAUGGUAGUAUGCAGUUUGAUUGUGAUUCUUAUCGUAAUGGUCAUAGUUAUAAUGACAAUAUAAUACAUGAUAAGAAGGAAAAAGAACGCCAAAGGAAAGAGUGCUUGGAUAGUGAAGACGAUAAAGAAAUAACAAACAUUUUAUCAGUUCUUCAAAACUUAAGAGAGUAUAAAACAGAUUAUUCCAAUUCAUUUGAUAAUGAUGCGACAUAUGAACAGUAUGAAGAUAAUGAAUACAUAUUAAAUGAGUCAGUAUUUGAACAUACUUCUAUUUGUCAAGUGGAAGAUAAAAAUAUGCCAAAAAAUAAACUAACAGAAAAAGGAAAUGAAGAAGACAAAGAGAACACUAAAAGUUCUGUAAAAAAAAAUAAAAAUUUCAUUUAUGAUAAAAAUAUACCCUUUUUAAAUAAUGAUUACACUUUUAAUAAGAAAAAUGUAAAUAUUGAUAAAGAAGAUGAUUUGGAUAUUCAAAAAAUAAAAGACAAAUAUAAAAAAUUUACAAUUUCUACUAGUAUUAACAGUGGAAGUGAUGAUGAAGGAGACAGUGGGGGAGAUAGUGGAGAAGACAGUGGGGGAGAUAGUGGAGAAGACAGUGGGGGAGAUAGUGGGGGAGAUAGUGGAGGAGAAAAUGGAAGAGAUAGUGGAGAAGAAAAUGGAAGAGAUAGUGGAGAAGAAAAUGGAGAAGAAAAUGGAGAAGAAAAUGGAGAAGAAAAUGGAGGAAACAGCGGAAGUGACAGCGGAAGAGAUAGUGGAAAAAAAAAUAUAAGUGAUGAUAUAUACCAAAAAUAUGAAGAUACAAAUAUAACCAAACAAAUGAGUGAUAAUGUUGAUAGUGUUAUAAAUAAUAAUGAAUAUACUUUUACCACAAAUUUGAUUAAAGAAAAUAAUAAUGUCGAUAUGUAUGACGACACUAAAAAUGAAUAUAAUAAACAGUCACCUAUAGAAAAUAAACACUUUUUAAAUUUAUCGAAUACUAUACUAAAUGGUCAUAACGAAAAGAGAGGUGGAAAUAUUGUUGAAGAUGAUCAAAAUAAUGAUGUCAAUGAUAAUUAUUUUAAUUCUGUUAGUUUUAAUUAUAAUAAAAAAAACAACAUCGAUCAGAAUUAUAGCAUUUCUAAUAAAAUUAACGAUA
ensembl:lncRNA